rnacentral:lncRNA from 1 species
GUCCUUGAAGUUUCAUAAAACUUUAUAUUCACUGAAAAAUAUAACUUUAAUCCUUAAGUUUUCAGUGAAUCAUUUUAAACUUCAAAAAUAGUUUAUGUUUAAGCCCUUGAAGUUUUAAAGUUUAAGACUUUGAAAAGUCGAUUAAUACUUCAAAAGAAUUUUAUUUUUAUACCUUGAAGUAUUAGCUAAAAAUCCAUGCAGCCCUUAAAUAUUUGAUUUUUUGUUAAGUUUGUUUAUUUUCUUACAUGCAUACCCUUAUAAUAAGCUUCUAUGUGUUACUUGCAAAUGAUAUUUCAUUUAACUUCAAAUAAAACACAUAACAUAGGAGAGUAGCAUGUGGUUCAAUCUCAAGUACAUGAGAUCAAGAUCCAUGGCUGGAUCUUCAAAAUAUAACAAAAUACAAGUACUCAAAACAUCAAACUACUUCUUAGGGCAGAUUCAGUUUAGUCAUGGUGGUGCAUGGUUGGAAUGACCUUGGAGCUAAACUCGUGAAAUAAGUUUGCAAGCUCCAGGUUGUAUUCUCUCUCAACAUCUAGCUGUUGCCUUGUUAUAGAUACCAUCUCUUCCAGAUCUCCCAUUCCUUUCUCCAGCAUCCUUACUUGAUGUCGAAUCCUUAUGAUUUCCUCAUUCAAAAACACAUUGGUGUCUUGUGAGUUUGGAUCAUAAGUAUUCUUCCAAGUCUUUUGGAAGGAGCUUGUAGUAAAUGGUUGGAUGUGAACUAUUAGUGGAUUGGGAGAGAGAAAGAUUUCAAAGUACUCUGGACCGAGGAUUUUGGAGAGCAUCCUUGGGUAGUGACGUGCUCCAGUACUCCUUGUUGAUGUUGUCAUGUUAUGCAUGAUUAAGGAUGUCCAGUUUACCCUGAUCUUUGACAGUAAACAAUAGAUUGCUACUAAGACCAAUGUGGAUGGUUCUUCUUUAUCGUCAGCUUGAGGAUAAAUGUUGCACAGGAUUACUUUGAGGAAGAUGGAGGCUUCUGGUAUGAGCAUUGAUUUCAAUAUUUUUUCAGUGCUUCUAGGGUUAUACCUAUGAGUAAGAGUGUUCCAGAGAAUCUCCCAAUCGUACUUGAAGGGUAGCUCUCUAAGAUUUUUAUAAUUUUGAAUCUUUACUCCAUCAUUUGGUAGGUUAAUCCAUGUACUCAGUUUAUCAGCUUCGAGAAUCAGACAUAUUCCAUUCACCAUGGUUGUAAUCCUUUGUAUGCCUAUAGUGUUAUACUUGAGAUUGGCAUAGAACUGAGCCAGCUCUGAUUUGUAGAUCCUGAGUUGUCCGAUGUUCUCAAGAUAAUCAGAAAGUCUGUUAAAACUUAACAGGCCUUCGAUCACUUUGCAGUUGAGAGAUCUGAGCAGGAUUGGUUCUUCAAAGAUCAUCCUUUGCUCGAGAAUGAGGUUGUAAGAUAACCUUGCCGUUGGAGAGAUCCACAUUGGUGAACCCUGGAAUAUUUCUGCCUUUGGAAUUCUUCUGGUGCGCUUUUUCCGUAUGGGAUUGCUACUGGAAGGGUUUGGAUGGUACACCGGACUUGAAGGGCAGUUAGGUGUGAUGAUAAGUUCCUCCUUAGGUUGUAGCAUAUUGAUUUCUUGAAUCAACAUGUUUGAGACAGAAUGAAUUUUAAGAUGGAAGAAGAUGAAACGAUUUGUUUCUCUUCCUAUGCUUAUAUAGUGAUUUGAUUCACCUUAAGCUUAUCUAAAUGAUCUGUCCAGAUUCUUCAUGUACUGACAUUACUUGUGGAGUUACAAGUAAUGAUGAAGACAUCUUUAAGUCAUGUCUAACUUUGGAAGGUUAGCAGCUUUAGGGUUUGAUUUUCUAAACACUACUUGGUGAAUCUUGAAAAGAUUCAUCCAGAUGUUUUAACAUUUCUUAGACAGAAAUUUUACCUUUUUAGAUGUCAAUCAACUCUGAAUUUAGAUAUGUUCAGAUUUUCAAUUAGCUGACAUUGCUUGUAAAGCUUUUACAAGUGAGAUUAACUUUGGGUCAUGUCUAACUUGAACAGUUAGCAACUUUUAGGGUUUGUUUUUCAAUGAAUCAAACAACCCUACUUGGUGAAUUUGGACAGAUUUGUCUUAAUUCAACUCUUGUCAUUUCAGAUGUUUACACGAUCUGAAUUGAUUUUCUAUAUUUAUUUAAACAUACCUUUUGCAGUAAUCGACGCACUCCUUGCUUCAUCCACGAUAAUUCAUGCUUCGUUUUUCUACUUUUGCAGGCAGCGAUUGAUGUACUCGUGCAGUGUUGUAGCAGGAUUUCCUUUUUCCAGAUCUUCUUGAAGGGUUCUUGCACUGUGCAAGCCACACACCGGGUAUGGUGUCGAGAAUGACUGAUUGACUUGGCUGUGAUCUGUGGCUGGAUUUGUAAUGCUGACAAGAACUUUCAUUUCUCCAAUGUCGAGAUUUCUUGCUUGGUUUCAAGAUAAAAAGAGUUUGGUUUACCAAGAUCUGACAAUUGGCAUGUUUGCACAUUCCACCUGUACUUAUAAUAGAUAUAUAGAUUUGGAUAUUUCAUGUGAAUUUGAAUUUCAUUGUUAAUUUUGUAGUGACAUGGCAUGUUAGUUAAAUAGAUUUAAGCAUAAAUCAAGGAGUGCAUGUAUUAGUUAAGUGUCACACAUGUAACUUGAAGUUUUGCAUGUACGUAUUUUAAAUUUCAUAGACUUAUUUUGCAUGCAUACGAUUGUAACAUAUAUUUAUCAGAUGACUCUAAACAUGCAGAUGAUUAGUAAAACGUGACUCAGAUAUGUAUAGGAUUAGUUUCAUAAAUGGUUAUGAGUCAACGACUUUAGUAAGAAAAGGCUUAUGCUUAUGAUUGCAUGUCAUAUAGUUCAUUAACUUGCACUAAAAAGAUAGUUCAUAACAUUAUUCAAAGAUAAUCAAGUGAUUGGUGAUAUAGGAUUAAUCUUAUAAUUUUCUCAAUUAUGUAUGUGAUGACAUGGAAUAUGUAUGAGUUAAAUAGUUAUACACGUAAGUCAAAACCAGUUGUUUAACCAUCAUGUAUUUAAGUAUUUCAUAUCAUCAUGCAUGCAUAUGAUUCAUUUACUUAUAAAUUCAUAGAUAAGUAUUAACAUGCAUUUAUAAGAUAAGUCAUAGUAUCAUGCUAAACUUAAAACAUGUGUGUUUAUAUCUUUAAGGACCAUAUACGUGUACAUGCAUAAUAUUGUAAUAUUUACUUUGCCAGGCAUGCAUUUAUCAGAUAGUCAUAUAUGCAUUUAGAUUUUCAUUUUACUAUGUCUAUUAAGCUAUGUGUGUUCAUCUCCAAUGAUUUGUUUUAUAAAGUGUAGGUUUCUAAGAUUCAUACUAGAUGGAAGUUCAGGGAUGAUGUUUUCUCUUGAUGAUCAUCUUCUAUAGGAAUGUCUUGAGGUAAUUGUUGAGUGAUUUCAAUUCCUUCUUUGAGAUGGAUUCAUCAAAGUCAACAUGUAGGGAUUCUAUCAAUGUUUGUCUUUUCUCAUAAGCUAUUUUAGGCAAUCUAGUUACUAAUUCUUCUUUAGAUACUUUAGAUAAUUUAGCAUAACUGGUGUGACCUAAAUGUCUAUGCCAUAAGAUCUUUUCAUCACUUGCAGCAAGUAUGCAGAAGUAAUGAGUUGAUUUAGACUUAUCAAAGUUUAUAGAAUAAGCAUUGCUUUUUCUAUAUACUUUGGCAAUAGUAACUCCCUCAGAGUUAAUGAUCAAUAAUUAUAUUUUUCAAAUUUUACUACACAACCUGAUUAGCAUAAGUCAAUUUGGUUGUGUUUAAGACCAUUUACUAAAUACCCAUUUCUUAAGAAUGGUUUUUCUAUAUUUCCUACAUUACCCCUACCUACUAUUGUACCUUUGUUGUUAUCGGCGAACUUGACCUUUUUAGUAGUAGGUAAGUCUAUCAAGUCUGUUAGUAGACUUGAUUUCCCAGUCAUGUGUCUUGUGCAUCCACUGUCGAGCGUCCAUUUUGACACUUGUUUUUCCUGAAAGAGUUAAAAAAUUCUUUGGUACCCAUACUGAGUUGGGUCCGGAUGGAUUAGUAUACCUAAUUUGCGUAUAAUUUCUUAGCUCAUCCUUAGUCAUCCAUCUUUGUUUUGGAUGAUUCAUCUUAGAGUGAUUUUUCUUUUUCUUAAGAUGAAUGGGUUUUAUAUAGCUAGAUUUCCUUAUAAAAUAAUCAUUAUAAAUUGAGGCAUGUAAGGGUUUUUUAAUAGGUGUAUCUGAUUCAAACCCUAAGCCAAAUUUCUUUUGACCCAAGUUUGAACCUUGCAAUAUAUUAUUUAACUUGGAUGAACUAUUGAAGAAUUUUUGAAGAACACUAUUUUUCUCAUUUAUUCUUUCAGUUUGUAAUUGCAUGCUGUUAUGUUUUUCAGAUAAUUUUUGUAGAGUUUCUUCAUGCUCAAAUAUGAGUUUAUCCUUAGAUUCUAUUUCAGUUUUAAGCAUGAUUGUUUCUUUUUCUUUAUUUCUAAUGAUUUCCUCAAAAUUAUCUAUUUUUAAUUCUAACAAUUCAACCCUAUCAUCAUUUAUUUCAUUAGGUUGAUUUUCUUCAGAUUCUAGAAUAUCGAGUAAUUCAAAAUUUUGACUCUUAAGUGUUUUAAUUUUUUCAUCUCCUUUUUUAUUUUACUUGAGAGUUUAUGAUUUUCUUCUUUUAAUAACAUGCAUUCUUUUUGUGAUUCUUCUAAUUCUAUUGAAUAAUCAAUAUGUGAUUUAUUCAUGCAUUCUAGUCUUAAUGAUUUACUUAAUUUUUUCUCAGCUUUAUAUUUAUUCAUUAAUUUUAGAAAUGCUUCUUCUAAUGAAUUAAAUCUAGUAUUUGUAAAGUUUACCUCAGAGUCGUUCUCAUGAGCCAUGAGGCAGUCUUCUUGAUCUGACUCAGAAUCUGACCAGUGUACUUGAUGUGCUUUUUCUUUCUUUAGUAGAGGACAUUCAGGUCUGAUGUGUCCAGAUUUGUCGCACAAGUAGCAGAUGGGCUCCUUUGAGUCUUUGUGGUUUUUACUCACUUUUCUGUCGGAAUUCUGAUAGUCUAUCCUUGAAUUUCUCUUUUCUUUCCUUUUUNNNNNNNNNNNNNNNNNNNNNNNNNNNNNNNNNNNNNNNNNNNNNNNNNNNNNNNNNNNNNNNNNNNNNNNNNNNNNNNNNNNNNNNNNNNNNNNNNNNNNNNNNNNNNNNNNNNNNNNNNNNNNNNNNNNNNNNNNNNNNNNNNNNNNNNNNNNNNNNNNNNNNNNNNNNNNNNNNNNNNNNNNNNNNNNNNNNNNNNNNNNNNNNNNNNNNNNNNNNNNNNNNNNNNNNNNNNNNNNNNNNNNNNNNNNNNNNNNNNNNNNNNNNNNNNNNNNNNNNNNNNNNNNNNNNNNNNNNNNNNNNNNNNNNNNNNNNNNNNNNNNNNNNNNNNNNNNNNNNNNNNNNNNNNNNNNNNNNNNNNNNNNNNNNNNNNNNNNNNNNNNNNNNNNNNNNNNNNNNNNNNNNNNNNNNNNNNNNNNNNNNNNNNNNNNNNNNNNNNNNNNNNNNNNNNNNNNNNNNNNNNNNNNNNNNNNNNNNNNNNNNNNNNNNNNNNNNNNNNNNNNNNNNNNNNNNNNNNNNNNNNNNNNNNNNNNNNNNNNNNNNNNNNNNNNNNNNNNNNNUCUUCUUUGCUUGUUGGAAUCUCAUAAUCUUCCAAUACGAUUUUCCAGACUCCAUUGUUGAUUGACUUUAAGUAUAACUUCAUCUUGUUUUUCCAGAAGUCAUACUUUACUCCAUCGAACAUGGGAGGUUUGUUCGAUGCAAGACCAGUACUGUUUUCACCAUUUGAAGCCAUAGUUAUUGUUGUAAGAUGUUAGUCUGACUUCAACGGAACUUAACUCUGAUACCACUUGUUGGAUCGUGAUCCGAGGCUAUAAGGGGGGGUGAUAGCCUCUUUUCGAUUUAUACAGGUUGAUAGCGGAAUUACCUGUAAAUACUUAAUAGACAAAUGGUUGAACAGUAAUGAUAUAAGGAUAUUAUUAUUUUAAUUGAUAUAAUAAUGUAAGUAUUACUCUUUGAAGCUUACUACAGUAUAUGAAUACCGAGUCAACUUGCUUGAUAAUGUUUCAAGUACAACUAUAGUAUAUGAAUACUAAGUUAUAUUGGAAACACAAAUUGUAUUGUAGAGUAAAUGACCAGAUAACUGGAUAUAUUGAUACGCAAAUAAAUGACCAGAUAACUGGAUAUAUUGACAAGUAUGUAAGUGACCAGAUAACUGGAUAAGUUGAUAAACAAGUAAGUGACCAGAUAACUGGAUAUAUUGACAAGUAAGUAAGUGACCAGAUAACUGGAUAAGUUGAUAAACAAGUAAGUGACCAGAUAACUGGAUAAAUAUGAUAAGUAAUACUUGAACAAAUAUAAGGAUUUAAAACAAUGAAUGUAACCUCAGAUAGUUGACCAGAUAACUGGAUGAGGGAUCUGCGUAAAGUAGUCAACCUCUGUGCUUGACCAGAUAACUGGAAGAGGGAUCUUUUUAAUUAUGUGUUGUUUUUAAGUAAAAGAUAGAACUAUAAUUAACAAAGAACAACACAAGAGAUUUAUACUGGUUCACCCAAACACGGGCUAGUCCAGUCCCGACCAACUGCCGGAAUUCACUCGCCUAAAGGUAAUGGCAAAACCUUUCUAAGCUUUAAGGCUACCUCGCUUAGGAACUAGUCUUUUACGGGUAGACUCACACCUUAGAGUAUCAAGGGCACUCUUAAGAACCUCUAACUUUUACGGGUAAGUUAGUACCUUAGAGUAUUCAAGGAACUCUUAAAAACCUCUCUAAGCUUUAAGGCUACUACGCUUAGGAACCAGUCUUUUACGGGUAGACUCACACCUUAGAGUAUUCAAGGAACUCUUAAAAACCUUUGAGAUCUUUAAAGGUAGACUCAACCUAAGAGUUUUCCCGGAAACUCUAUAAAACCAAACUAGAGCUUUAUGGUUGAGCUCACAAACCUUCUCUAAUACUUUGGUACUAUUGAGACAACCCUCUCAACCAAAGUGGACACACACAAGAGGUGAUUAGAGGAGUGGAAUAUUAAAGCAAACAACACUUCUUACUUGUAAAGAUGAACAAGAAGAUUAGAAGAAGAAGUUGGAGAGCUUUUGAAGCUUUGGAAAGCUAGGACACUUGAGCACUUGAAAGCUUGGAAGCUUGGAGGCAAAAACGUGUGGGCAAGUGUGGAGUGAAAGNNNNNNNNNNNNNNNNNNNNNNNNNNNNNNNNNNNNNNNNNNNNNNNNNNNNNNNNNNNNNNNNNNNNNNNNNNNNNNNNNNNNNNNNNNNNNNNNNNNNNNNNNNNNNNNNNNNNNNNNNNNNNNNNNNNNNNNNNNNNNNNNNNNNNNAAUAGUGCUUUUCUUAGAUAGAGUUUGUUGGAGAAUCUUAUCUUUGUAUAAAUUCAACCAUGAAUAGUGUUUUGUCCCCUUGGAAUAUUAUACCUUGAAUAAAGUGUCAAAAGAUAAUAAUAAUAAUAUUCAAGGUAAAAAUGCAAUUAUUCCAAAUAAUAAUAUUCAAGGUGAAAAUGCAAUUAUUCCAAAUAAUAAUAUUCAAGGUGAAAAUGCAAUUCUCCCAAUUUGACUUUUAACUUUGACUUAUACCCUUAACUCAAAUGAUUAAUUAAUUAACUGGAGUUAGAUUUAAUAUCGAUUGACUUAUUUAACCCCUAUUGAUUAAUAGUGUAAUUAGGGUUUAAAUUGACAUGAUUAAAAUAUAAUCCUAUGUCGACAAUUUUGAUUCUACACAGACUUCAUCACUUGUCUACCUAAGGUAAAGGAGAAGAGUGUGAUUAUUGUGGUUGUUGAUAGACUCACAAAGUUUUGUCAUCUAGGGGCAUUACCAUUUGAGUACACUUCAAAGCAGAAUAUUUUAUACGUAAUAUAUCAAACUGCAUGGGGUUCCUAAAUCUAUUUUAGGGUUUGAUAAAGUCUUUACUAGUGGGUUUUGAAGAGAACUUAAGUGGGACUAAAAUAAAGAUGUCUACUGCUUAUCACCCACAAAUUGAUAGUCAAUCAGAAGUACGUGGUGAUCAGAUGUAUUGAGUUAUAUAUCUUAGGUCAUUAAUCCAUGAACCUAAGAAGUGGUUAAAAAUUCUACCAUUGGCAGAAUCGUGGUAUACUUCGAAUUAUAAUGAAAGCAUUGGUGUUGCCCCCUUCAUGACAUUAUAUGGGAAGAAGGCAAAUACAUUUAUACCAAGGACCACAAAGGACACCAACAAUCCAGCAGCGGAGGAGGAAAUUCUCAAAAGGGUGAAAAUUGAAUUAGUGCACACAAAUCUAAUUUGGGCUAGAGAUAGAAUGAAGAGGCAAGUGGAUCUGCACAAGAGGGAGGUAAAAUUUGAAGAGGGUGAUUGGAUAUUUAUGGGGUUAAAAUGUACAAGCAAAUGAGGUCUGUCAAUUGGACGAGUUCGGUCUAAUCUGUAUGCGUUAUCCCUGUAUCCGAAUAGGAUUAGGUUAGGAUUAAAGUUAGAAUAAUAAUAUUUUAGUAGAAUUGCAAAUACGGAAUUUGAAAUUCGAAUAAUAAUCGAACGAAUUUAGAUUAUCCGGAUACUAAACAAAUUCGUUUAGGGGUAUUCAAAUUCUUUUAGCUUCAGAUAAUAUUUUAAAUAUCCGAAUUAAGUCUAAACAAAUCGAAUUCGAAUAUGAAUUUCGGAUAUCCAUUGACAGGUCUAAUUUUCAUCACAAUCAAGAAGGGUGGAGUUGAAAUUUGAAAUGGUCUGGUUGCAUUGUUUUUUUUUUGAAGCAAUCUGGUUGCAUUGUUGGUUGGCAAGGAUCGGUAGACGACCCCAUUAUGGAGAAGCCUGGUCGGCCCACCUAACUAUAAAUAGAAUGGUAGGGGGUCCUAGUUUGAGGUUGAUUUUUGGAGAAUUAGAGUAACCAUAUAUCUAGCUUUAGAGACCCCCCGCAUCAUUACUAUCCUUGAGAUUAGUUGAUAAUACAAAUGGUUGAGUAGUUUAAACCCUACUAAACCUUUGAUUUUAUUCAAUAGUAUUUUGUGCUUUACAUCUAUGACAAGAACCCUAGUUCAACUCUAAAUUAUAGAAUCUAGAACGACGACAGUACUAGCCCUGGUCUUCUGAAUGACUCAGUAAUCGAUAAUUACAAUGUGAAUUGUACCACAUUUGUCGUGCGAUAGUUAAUCUUGGUUAAUCUCCGUCGUAGAUCAACCUAGUAUCCAAUCUGGUUUGUACUGUCACACAAAGGUAUCGAACCAUACCAAGACUUCAUAAUACACCUCUCCCCAAUUUCACAUCUUUUGAAUGAUUUGUUAAACCCUAAAUUCAGUUAAUCCUUGUUGAUCUUCGUCGUAGAUCAACCUAGCCUCUGAUAUGGCUAGUACUAUCACCAAGCCCUGACCUUCUGAAUGACUCGUUAAACCCUAAAUUAUAAUGUGAAUGGUACCACAUUCGUCGUGCGAAAGUUAAUCCUGGUUCAUCGAUCGUCGUAGAUCAAUCUAGCUCCGUGUCAUACAGAGGAAAUACACCUUUUCUCGAUUUCUGACUCUGUGGUAAAUCACCGCACCAAACAAUCAGACAUAAGAAACUCGGGCAAUAUCAUCUUGAGAAGGAAAUUUCAGAUAAAAUUAGUUAAUGAAUAUCCGAAAUUCGGGUAAAGAGUUAUAUAAGGUGGUACACGUGGCCAAUAAUAAAUAAAACUAAAGUAUUUGAAUAUAACCUUAAAAAAUGAAAGAGAGAAAUAAAAUGUGUGGAAAUAAAAUUCCAAAAACAAGGAGUUAAACGGCUAUGUAGUUUCAUACUCCCAAAUUAGAUGAAUCAAAUAGAGCUGAUCUUUAAUGUUCCGCAUAAAUAUUUUUACUAUCGUGUUCUUGGUCUAUAAUUCAGACAUAUACGGACGAAAAAUAGAUUUAGCAAAAAUCCCCAAAUUGUUUAACCGAUUCCGCGAGACGCCAGACCGUAUUCGUUGCAUAUUUUCGUGGAGGGUGUGGAAGAGAAGGUAAAAGUCCAUAAUUCCCACCUCAUUCUUCUCCAUUCUUCUCCUUUCCGCUUCUGGAUUGAAACCCUAAUCCGAACUACUACUAGUGGGGGUUUGACGCACACCAGUGAGUGUGCAUCUACGGCGGAUUGGAGAAUUUCUGAAGGAUUUCUAGGGUUCUUCCGUUAUCCGGUGUGCUGCAGCGAUUGGAUCGGUUUGAUUUAGCCGAAAAGAGGUAGUUUUUUUUUCGAACUAACUAUUAUCUUGGAUAUGCUGGGGAAAAGGCGGGGUAGUGGGACUCGACGGUCUCCACGUCACGCUGUUGAGAAUUCUGUCUGUAUAGAUGAUUCUGGAGCCGGAGAUAAUGCGGGUGUGGAAGAGAAGGACGUCGAGAAGAAUCGAAUCGGUGGUGGAUUGAUUUUAGAUGGCGAAAUGGGGGAUGAGAAUUUGGUGGAAAAUAAAUGUGAUAUUGAUUCGGGAACUGCGGAAUGGCGGAACGAUUCGGAUGCGGAGGCGGACGCGGACUUGACGUGUGUUAAUUCAAAUAAGGAACAACGACAACCAAUGUCGAAAAGAAGAUGUCGAAAAGAGAAAGCAAAAGCCAGUACUCCUUUGAGAAGGAGUGCUCGUCAAGCAGCAAUUCUUGGUUCUCCGUUGGAUUCAUCGAAUGAUGUAGUCGAGUCCCAUUCAUCGGAAAAAUUGUGUGCUUUUGAAGAUGAUGCUUCUGUUGAUCAAUGUAGUGAGAAUGAUUUUGGUGGAGGUGGUGUUCUAGAAUUACCACCAUCAUCGGAAAAUCUUAACUUGCAAAACCUGCCAGUAUCUGACUUCUUCUGCGUUUAUUCAUUUUUAAGGUCUUUUAGUACGUUUCUGUUCUUAAGUCCUUUUACUAUGGAAGCUUUUGUGGAGUCUUUGAGUUGUGAAUUUCCAAACUCUUUGAUAGAUUCUGUUCAUUUCUCUAUUUUACAAAUUCUUAAGGUGCAUCUGGAGCAUCUAUCUGAAGAAGGCAACCAGUUUGCUUCUAACUGCCUGAGGUACUUCUUACUUUUUUUUGAUGCAAACUUACUUACUUAAUUGCCUAUGCAACAUUUUUCUGAUUUUAAUUCCUUCAUUGCUUCUUACCAUUUAUACUUUUGUGGACACAAUAUUUAUACCAUUCAUCGUUUAUGUUAGAAAAGAUGUUUAAAGCCUAUAUUUUUUUUUGAGAAAUUUUCAUUAUCGAAAAGAGGUUGGGCAUAGCCCAAGAUUACAGAAUAUAGGGAAAUGCAAGUAUAAUAAAUGUAAAAAUAUUUUCUAUCUCUUAUACAGCUAUGACCCUGACUAACUGACCAAGGACGGAAGCCUCAAGAGGUUGGACUCCCAUGAGCGUAUAGCUUGUUUUUCAAUCUGUGAAAGAUUGUACUUCUUAUAGGAUGUAGAAUCAUAUGCAAUGCUCACAUCCUUAUAUAAUUAAUAACUUAAAGAUGACAAAUUGAAAAUUUCAUAUUGAGCCUAUAUUUUUUGUUUAUACCAUUUUAAGCUUAUUUUAAAUUUAAAUUUUCACAGGGGUCUUAAUUGGAGAUUGCUGGAUACAAGAUGUUGGCCUAUUUAUUUGGCUGAAUACUUACUAUAUCACAGUUCUUCAAUGAAGCCAUGCCUCAAGCUUGCUCAACUAACAAUUUUGAACCAAGGAUAUUACAAAUUAUCAGCUGAUAUAAAGCUUGACAUACUGCAAUUUUUAUGCGAUGAUGUUGUUGAAAUAGAUCUCAUGAGAUCAGAAAUCAGGAGAAGAGUGCUGAACACUGAGCUCGAUUUGGACAAUGACCAGAAUAUCCCCUAUCAAUACAGUAACAAAGAUUUUACUCCAAAUGAUUUGGAGAGUUCUCCUUCUCUAAGUACUGAUAGAGAUAUUGUUGAUCCAAAUCACGAUGAGUGUUGCAUCUGUAAAAUGGAUGGUAACUUAAUAUGCUGUGAUGGUUGUCCUGCUGCUUUUCACUCAAGAUGUCUUGGGGUUCCCAAAGAGUCUCUUCCUGAAGGUGACUGGUAUUGUCCUGAAUGCUUGAUGGGAAAAGUAGAUCGAUCUGUUAAACCAUCAAAGGCAUUUGCUGCAUUUCAUGGAGCUGAGCUUUUGGGCAUCGAUGUCCAUGGAUAUAUUUUCUUUGGCUGCUAUGGCUAUCUUUUAGUGUAAGUUCAAUUGUUCUAUCAAAGUUUUAAUAUUAUAUAAUUGGGCAAUUGGCACCCUUUUCUUUCUCAUCAUGUACAAAUGAAUCUCAACAGAAUGGUAGUUUUUACUUUUUUCAUACCUCUCUAGUGUUUUUUUGGAAGAAUAUGAUUUCUGAAAGUGUCACUCACUUUAAGUGGUUUCUAAGGAUCCACAAUUUCACACAAGAAUCAGCUUGCAGUGAAUAACUUUCGGUUUUCCCCAUCUUCUCUUCUUCCCCCUUCUUCACUCUAGAUCCCAAUUCCCAAUGCCAAGAGGUGUAGAGUAAUUACACACUCACUUCCAACCUUCCUCCUUUGACAUAGACAACGCCGUCUGACCCACUCCGACGUUCUUCUCUGAUGACAAACCAACAAUGAUUUUUAGCCCAUGAAGUAUACCGUGCUAACACAUAGAUUGAUUAUUGUUCCACUGCACCAGAUUCCUAUUCUAUAUGUAUAUAGAGAGAAAAUGGAUCAGAUGUGGUUACAUUGCAUCUGGCACGUACCAGGUCGUGUUUUUAGCACAUAGCUGAAUCACAUCAUUUUUGUAUGUGCUAAUGUGUUGCACCAUAUGUGGCAAAGCAAGAUUCUCAAUGAUCUUCCAUAUAUCUAAAAAGUGAUCGAUAGAAGACAUUUCAAUUUUCAAAUGUGGUUUCCUAUUUGCAUAUACAGUAUUAACCCACAUUCCCUACAUAUGUGUGUACCUCAAUUUCACGUAUACUGUGUGUAUGUGGGAUUGUUGGUCUUACACUCUUACUGUGUUUAGUGCUUCUAUGUUGUCUAGUCAUGUUGGAUCUCCACCGUGUAUAAAAUGUAUGUAUGUGUGCGUGCGUGUGUGCGUCAAUUUCUUUGUUUUUACUUCUUGUGAACUAUUUGUUGAAGUGUUUUCAGAUGAAGUGUUUUGAUAUUAGUUGACACUGGAAAUAUCUGUUUGGUUUUAGAUGUGAGUAUGUGACCUGGUUUGAAAUCAUAUUGGAAUUGCAGGUCAGAUUCUCAUGGUGUCGAUUUUUACAAUUAUUACAAUAAGGGAAACUUAAAUUUAGUUAUUGAGGCUUUGAUGGCAUCCUCUUGCACACUCUAUACUGAUAUCAUUAUUGCAAUCAAGAAGUAUUGGAGCAUUCCCGAUGAUUCUGCUUGUUCUGUGUAUGAUGAUUGUGGACAUAAUGGAUCAAAUUGCGACACUUCUUUGAUUUGUGCACCACUCUCGCCUGUUAAAGAAGAUAGCACUAUUCAGAAAUCAAAUCUUAAAAAUUGUGCUCCGCAAGGCUGUAUAGAUUCAACUUUAUCUAAGUUCAAUUCAUUAUAUCCUGAGAGCUUCAUAGAGAAUCCACAAUCUACUAAAAUUCAUAUAGAUGGUGCAGAUUCUUCAAUAAGAUCCACUAUUUAUGCCAAGAAGGAGGAAUUACAAUUUGAAAUUGACGAAGAAAUGAAAAAUGGGAGAAGUCAAAUGCAAUCUAAACCUAAUGGUUACAUAAACUCCUACUUUUUUGGCCAUAUAUCGUCAUCUAUUGCUUCCGAGAUUACAUCUAUGUCGCCGGAAAACAACAGUGAGGGUUUGAAAAACUCUGUUGAGGAUACAAGUAAUACAACAAUGUCUUCUCAGCUCAGUAUUAUUUCCAAGAAUGUUUUGAGUUUUGAUUGGUCUGUUUUUCAAAAGCUAUCUUUGGAUGCACACAAGGAACGGUGUGGAUGGUGUUUUUCUUGUCAAAGUUCUGAUAAUAAAGAUUGUUUGUUGUAUAUAAUAGAGAAUAAGUUUUUAGAAUCUCCAGAAUACUUAUCAGUUGGACUUUGUACAAUGGAUAAUAAGAAAAACCACAUGGAUUCUGUAGUGCAUAGUUGUUUAGUUAUAGAAGAUAAUUUGCAAGGUUUGUUAUCUGGUCCUUGGGAGGAUCCAUGUUACCGGAAACAUUGGCGCAAAUGUAUUCUUGAAGCAUCCAACAUUGAAUCAAUUAAAAAACUGCUUUUUACUGUGAGUAUGCAUUUAUUAUUUACUUCCUUAAGUCCUUUUAGUUUCCAUCUAAAAUUUGUUAGUUCAUAAUUCAUAUCGUGUGACAUGUUGAGUCGUUGACAUCUUUUUCUACAGUUAGAAUCAAAUGUGCGACAAAUUAUGUUUUCAAAUGAAUGGCUGAAGCCAGUUGAUCGUGAACUUACUGUUGGUUCAGCUUGUCACGUAUUGACUAGUUUUCUGCCAAUAUCUUCAAAAAAAUUGGAUGGCAGAAAAGUGAGAAAACGAGCCAAAAAGAGUACAUCUGAAAGGAAAAAAAAUAAUGUUGUUGGUGCCGACUCUGAUAUUUUUUGGUGGAGGGGUGGAAAAAUUUCCCGUCAAUUAUUCAAUUGGAAGAGGCUGCCAAUAUCUCUGACUGUUAGAUGUGGCCGACAAGGUUAGCACCAUCUUAUGUUCAAUUAUAUGUAUUUGCAUCGUGAACUUAUGUUCAAUUAUAUUUUGCAUCGUGACUUUCAAAAUUAUAACAUUCUGAUUUUUUUUGUAGCUGGCUGUAAACGGAUUCCUAGCAUAUAUUAUCCUGAUGGUUCAGAAGUUGCUAAAAGGAAGAAAUAUAUUGCAUGGCGUGUAGCUGUGGAGACAUCAAAAACUGCAGAACAGCUUAUUACCCAUGUAUUGAAAAAGUUUUGUGAUUCCAUCUCCUUGGCAUUCGGCAUCAUCUUAUCUUCUGAUAUUUUUACGUUUUCUUUUGAUUGCUCGAAGUUUUUUUCAUUGAAUAUUUUUUUAUCAGGUCAAAGAUUUUCAUUCCAACAUUAAAUGGAAUGAUUUUAAGAACACUCAAAUAUUCUCAUGCUUGGCAAAGGAAUAUAUAAAACAAGUGAGGCCAUUGAGGAAUGUGAAAAUCCGCAAAAAGUGUGUUGAAGGAAAACAAGUGAAUUAUGUACUUGAUUUUGGCAAAAAAAAGAAUAUUCCAGAUAUAAUUACUAAGCAAGCCAUCAAGCACGACGAAAUUUCCAAUGGAAACAAGUAUUUUUGGUUGAAUGAGACUAUUGUACCUUUGGGGCUUGUGAAGGCUUAUGAAUUAAAAAAGGUUGAACAAAAAAACAGUAAGCUCAACAAAAAAGAUGUUUAUCAUGAGGUGGACAAAUAUGAGAUAACCAAAAGGAGAAAAAGAUCAGAUGGAUUUUCGUAUCUUUUCUCAAAAGCCCUCAAGAAUGAAAGUCAUAAAUGUGGCCAAUGCAAGAAAGAUAUUCCAAAAUGGUAUUUAUUGAUUUUUUUACAAUUUUAUAGUUUCUUAACUUUAUUUCAAGAUAUUGAACUUGUUAUGACACACCUGUACUUGUUCUAUGUUGCACAGGGAUUCUGUGAUCUGUGAGUUCUGUGGAGGUACUUUAGUUGCAUUUCUUUACUGUUCUUUUCAUUGCCAGCUACUAAUUAGAUAUCAAAUUUCCAUGUUUGGUCGUUUGGAAGUUGUAUCAACUUUUUUCGAUAAACAUUUUUCCAUGUUCUGUGGUGUUUUUUAUUUUUUUGGCGAUAUAUCAUAUAUUUUUUGACACUAUUAAAAUGCUUUUAUAAGGUGUUAAGUUAACAGAUACUUGGAGUUGAAAAAUUAUUAUUUGCUGAUCUUUAACACCAUUAUAGUUUUCUCUUCAAAAAUUUAACUGUUAGUCUGUUAGAAUAAAAGUAGAAUUUGAUAUCUUAUUAUAAAUGCUUAGGAAACAAUUAUAUUAAAGUUCAAAGAAUGGAAGCAGCUAUAUUACAGUCAAGGUUGGUGAUGCAGGGUAUCAAGGAGAUAAUACUGUUUGGACUAAUAGUCUAAUAUGCAGUCCAAGUAUGCUAGAAUGGGUAUUCUUCAGAGAAUGAGUGGUGGGCCUGACCAAGGUUGGGCCUCACAACCUUUUCUUUAGAAGGUCUUUACACUCACAUCAUUAGGGUUGUCCAUCACCGAAGAUGUGAGUAUAAAUAUGGUGGACCUCAUAAAGGGGUGACAUUUCUGACCGAUAGGUCUUGCGACGUUCGUCAGAGGUCCUUUUUCAGACGCAUCGUCGCCGGAGUUCUGAUCCGUCGAUAACUACGUAUCAACGCCAGACUACUAACGUACUGGAUCAGUUCGAGGAGUUGUUAGAGGAGGAGCCUUCACACCAGUCUGAAUGACAAUAUCAGAGGAGGCCGCAACAACAAUUCCGAGAUCAGGAGGAAGUUAUGGAUGACAGUGAUCCACAUUUUCUGAACAGAGUGUAUCUGCGCCGUGGACCAGCAGAGUUUAAACUGAAGAUGGACAUUCUUAACUUUAAUGGUGCAAUGCAUAUUGAAAAGUUCGUUGACUGGAUGACAGAGGUUGAGAGGUUCUUCGAUUACAUGAAUAUCUAGGAAGAGAGGAAGGUUAAAUUGGUUGUCUUAAGAUUCAGGGGAGUUGCCUCCGCAUGGUGGGAGCAAACUGUGAAGAACAAAGCCAAGUUUAACAUAAGUCCCGUUAGAAGCUGAGAUAAACUCAAGAAAUUACUGUGGCAAUUACUCAGAUUUCUGCCAAGCGAUUUUGAAGGAGUGCUUUUUACUCAGUACCAUCAGUGCAGUCAGGGAAACAGAAGUGUACCUGAGUAUGCGAGAGGAUUUCACAGACUGUAACCCUGAAUAAUUUAAGUGAGACAGAAGAGCAGCUGAAUGUUAGGUUUGUGUAGGGUUUAAAGAGUAAAUUUCAGGAGAAAUUGAUCUUGCAACCCCAACACUCCCUCAUGGAGACCAUUAGAGUGUCUGAGCAAUUGGAUAAAAUAUCUGAACUUUUUUCUAAAUACAGCUAUGGAUCAUCAUCAAGCAAAGGGGGACAACCUAAUGAAAGAGGAAUACUUCCAACUCUUGAAGAAGGGAGAUUAAUGAUUGAGAAUGGACAUGAACAGAAGGAAGGGAGAUCUGGAAAUUGGGACCCAAAAUUCAGCAAUGUCAAAUGUUUUAGAUGCAAUGAAUGGGGACAUAAUCAAACACAUGUCCCAAGAGAGGAGAGGUCCAUUUGGUGAAUGAAAAAGGAAAACAAAUUAUGGAAAAUGAUGACAGUGACUUUGGAGACAAUUAUGACGACGAACCUGAUGAGGGUCAGAGGCUUUCUUAUUUAAUUCACAGAAGUUACCAUACUCCACACAUUGAAAAGGAUCCUCAAAAAACCAACCUCUUCAGAACCAGAGGCUUUGUGAUCGGUAAGAUCUGUGAUAUUAUUGUAGACAAUGGAAGUAUAGAUAACCUUAUCUUAGUUAAGGCUGUUAAACAAUUAGGGCUGAAAGUUGAAGACCACCCUAGACCUUAGAAGGUGGGUUGGAUCAAGAAGGAGAUGAUGUAUCUGUGAAUGUUAAUAAAUCAUGUAUGGCCUCAUUGCCUAUACUCUAUAGGGAGAAGAUACAAAGGUUAAGUACAAUGUGACAUUGUAGACAUAGAUGCAACUCACAUUCUCUUAGGAAGGCCUUGGCAGUAUGAUGUGUAUGGCAAUUACAAUGGUAGAACCAACCAGUACAUAAUUAGAGUGGAUGAUAUGAAAAUUUCUCAAACACCAUUACCACCUGAAACAUGAAACAUCAGUCCAAGCUGAAAAUCUCAAUCUGAUGGUUCAAGCUCAAACAGAAUUUAAAAGAUUUUAGGUGCAAACGGAGAAGGGUUAUCUGUGGUGGUAAAAGAAAGGCAUGAGACAGAAGAAUUUUAUUCCUAAGACUGUAUCAGAAAUUUUAAAGGCAUUUCCAGAUAUAUUAGAGUCUGAAACAGUCCACUUGCCACCACACAGAUCAGUAGACCACAGAAUAGAUCUUGUACAUGGGGCUUCAUUACCAAAUCUAGCUCAUUACAGACUGAGCCCCUCUGGAGCAGUUGCUUAAGGAUGGGUUAAUUAGACAGUAGAAUUCAUUAUCUUAUUACGAAUGCUUAAAUUCUCUUAUAUAGAUACUAGAUAGCCUAAUAAGGAAAUACGAAUGAUAGAAACAACUAGUUUAGGAAAUAAAAUUAUAGGAGAUAAUUUUAUUUCCUUAAAAUAUUCUAAAUAAUAUAUUUAAUUGAUACUCUAAAUAUUUUUAAAUAUAAUUUGAAUAUGUUACGGAGUCUCCGUAACAGAUAAUGGCUUCGUAACAGAUAAUAUUGGCAUAUUUCCUAGGAUUUCUUCAGGUAACUCUGAAGGUGGUUAUCAUUGGUCUUCAAACUCUGAAGGCAAAGAGAGAAGGAAUAAUGGGGGGGAUGAGAUGUAAAAGAGGGAUGAAGAAGAAAAGAGGGGGAGAAGAAGAAGAAAAGAGGGGAAGAAGAAGAAGAAUGAGGAAGAAAGUAACCCUCAAAAGGAAGAAUACUCGGCAAAUCAGGUUCUGGUGUACAUCCUCCACAUCAGAACCGAAGUCUAUUUAAUUAAUACUCUAACAAUAACUUUUAAGAACUUCUAUCGAAAAUCAUCAUAGCUUUGUGUGCUUAGUUAUUACAAAUAUUGGGAUUAAUAAAACUUACUAAUUUUGUUAUAUUUUUUCAGUUUUAGAAAAAAAUGCAUUAUAUCGUGAUCUGUGAAAAAUAAUAAUUUCUGUUCUCUUUUCAAUUCAGACAAAUAAUAAUUCCUAACCUAAGUUUCUCUAAUUUAAGAUAUAGAAUGGUAAAUAACUAAAUCAGUUUCUCAUGGCAAUUAAAUACAAAUAUUAAGAUGUUGAUUUACGUUUAUAAGCUUAGUUGCUGUUGCCGUCUGAAUAUGCACGGAUUUGCAGCAGACUGGUAUUUGGUUUGAUACAAUCUUACUAUCUUAGUACAUUUUUCAUAAGGCAGCAAUACACUUUCUAUAUUCAGUAUAUUUUCUUGGCAUAUUCUAUAUUUAGUACUCAUCAUAACCAUGAUCUGGCAAAGGAUUGGGCGGCUCGAAUAGUUGUUAGGCCAUCUAAAGAUGCAUUAGGAAGUAGGCACAAAAUCCUACUAGGAAAUUUGGAUCCACCUCGGCCCACUUGCCAACCUCUAUAAAUAGCAAAAUUCUUCAGAAGAGAGCGCAUAAUUCACCCUUGACCUAUACCUUUCUAACUCAAACUGGGAAAGACCCACUUUAUUUCUGAUGAAAUUUUAACUUCAUCGAAAAAAUAAACCUGUCUAACUUUCCAAAAACAGGAAUAGAGCGUGUGUAGCCAGCCGCAUGCCCGCAAUCCUCUCUCUUCAUUUAUUACUCAAGAAGCUUGCAACCACUCCGGAAAAUCCAAACCCCAAACUACUGAAGACAUAAAUAGAGCAUGUUCCAAUGGAAGCAGAUCCCCAAUUUCAGGACCUAGGUGUUGUCCACUUUUCCCCAAUCCCUAUCUGACCACCCAACUCCGUCUUGGAUUACUUCUGUGCAGGCUAGACAUCAUCAGAAAGUAUAUAGGAAGAUAGUUGGUUCAAACCAUUUAGAAGAUAAGUGUGUCAUUCUUUCUGUCAUGCUUUUGAAAUUCUUAAUGUUUUAUAUAAUAUUGUUAUAUUUGUUGUUUUUAUUUAAAAGUUACUAUUUAAUGUGACUAUUUAAUCAUUUAUUAAGUUGAUCAUGUAGAUUUAUAGUAGUGAUGAUAUGGAUUAAUAUUUACUGGUUCAAUAAUUAAUAUUCCACUGAACUAAUUAAUUUUUCAACAAAUAUAUUUGUCAAAGAUGAAUACUCAUAAUUCUGAAGUACGCCUUUUUUCAGAAAUGCGAGAGUUCUAUAAUAUUAUUGUAUUUUUGUUUUGCUUAUGCAGUUAUGCUUAUACACAAUAGAAAAUUCUUAUUUAUUUACUGUAAAAUUUAUGUAGCAACAAACUGCCAAUACUUGAAUCUGAACAGGGAAUGAAUGGGACUGAAGAAUGAUUAGUGAAUGCCUUCUUCAGUAGAUAAUGCUAGUAACCAAAUGUUUGACCAGAUUGGAAUCCACCAAUAUGGGAAGAACAUGGGAGUCAAAAGAGAGUAACAGAGAGAAUAAUUCUUAAACAGGGGGUGCGAAUUCAGAAAUAUCUGAAAUAUGGUUCAAAAGCUGUCCAUUCCCUUUUGUCCACUCUUAUUUAUAUCGUGUGAGGGUGGAAACUCCACGAUAUGAGCAGCAUUGUGGUGGAGACUAAGGCUGAACGAAUGUAGAAAUAUUAGUGAACUGCAGCAAAGAUUCAGAUCGCAGAUCUGAAGCUUGAUGAAGCUAGGAACCGAUCAGAAUGGAAUCCACCAAUCUGAGGAAUAUGGAGAUUGGAAUCCACCAAUCUAAAUGAAAUCGAUGCUAGAAAGAAGAAGAAUGGAGAAGAAAGCACUGUAGUUGUCUACAUCACCUUGGUGCUCAGAGAUUGAGCACAUAUGCUCAGACCAUCUUGAGCCAAUGACAUGGGCUUCAACAGAAUCAUGUUCAUCAGAAAUACAUUAAAUACUAUUUUUUCUUAUUUAUUUGAAUUUUUACACUUAAGUUUUGAUUAUUUUUAGAUUAAUAUUUUCUUAAUAUCAUUUUAUUUUGUUGUUUCAGGUUAUUUUCACAAAAAACAUUUUACUUUGCCCAAAGGUACAACUGAUAUUAUGUAUAUGUGUCGGUUGUGUGAGAACACCAGGACGACUAAGAUAUUAAAAAGUGAAGAAAAAGUGAAGGUCCCGGUCAAUUUUAAAGCUAAUAAAAAGGGGUCUUCUUCUAAGUUAACUGAUAGACAAAAGGUGAACGUUUCUAAGUUAAGAUCUGAGAAACUGAAAGAUAAAGCAGUAGUCAAGUUAAAAACCAAUGGUCGGAUAAAACAUGACAAGAAAGCCAAAGGUGCAGCUUCUGCAAAUUUGAUGAAUUUACCAUCAGGAAAAAAGAUUCCGGCUGCAAAGAAUAAAGCUGCUAUUAAAUCCGAGAGACUUAGGAAAAUGCAAGCUGACAAGUUUAAAGAUAUGAUCAAUGUUUUCUGGUGUACAAAUACGAGGACACCUAUCCAUCCUGCUUAUUGGUUGAAUGGUGUCCUAUGGGCUAAAAAAAAUGAUUGUAAACGUGGGCUUGACUUCAGGUUGACAAAGGUUCUUAUGCCAUUAUCACAAACAACUCUUCCACAAAUCGAACCUACAUGCAUACUUUGUCGUGAGAAGAAAUACAACCCAAACUUGAUUUAUCUCAGUUGUGAGAAAUGUGGAGGUAUGUUUUUUUCUUAUAAUUCCACUAUCGUUACUUUUUUUUUGAUAGAAUUAAAAUUCAAAUUAGUCCAAUGUAGCUAGUUCGUUUAUUAUAUAUAGAAUCAUUUGACAUAAUAUUCAUGCAUGCAAUUUCACAUAGUAUAUUUGAAAUGCAGUUUGGGUUCACGGUGCUUCUUUCGGAAUUAACAUUGAAAGCAUAAAAAGGAUAAAUGGCUUCCGAUGUCAUAAAUGUCGAUGCAAAUGUCUACCCGUGUGCUUGUAUUUGGCUGGACCUAGUCAGGUUGAACCUCUAGACAAAAAUAAUUCUGGAAAAGCUGUUGUAGAUGACAUUGAUACACAAAAGGACAGUAAGCUUUUUAUUGGAGAAUACACUGAACAAGAUUUCCUACAUUCUGAUUAUAAUUUAGAAGAGCAGAUGACAGAGGCGGCUACUGUAGUGGAUAUAGACAAUGCUGGAUCCAGACAAGUUGAACCUCUAGACAAAAGCAAUGCUGAAAAAGCUGUUAUAGAUGAUAUUGAUCUACAAAAAGACAGUAAGCUUAUUAGUGGAGAAUACGCUGAACAAGAUUUCAUGCACACAGAUUGUAAUCUAGAAGAAGAGCAGAUGACAGAGGCGGCUACUGCAGUGGAUAUAAACAAUGCUGGAUCCAGACAAGUUGAACCUCUAGACAAAAGCAAUGAUGAAAAAGCUGUUAUAGAUGACAUCAAUCUACAAAAAGACAGUAAGCCUAUUAGUGGAGAAUACGCUGAACAAGAUGUCAUGCACAUAGAUUGUAAUCUAGAAGAAGAGCAAAUGACAGAGGCUACUGCAAUGGAUGUAAACAAUGCUGGAUCUAAACAUGAUGUUCCUCUAGGCAAAAACAAUACUGAGAAAACUGUUAUAGUUGACACUGAUCCACAAGAGGACAGUAAGCUUAUCAGUGAAGAAUACGCUGAACAAGAUUUCUCACACCUUAAUUCUAAUUUAGAAGAUGAGAUGACAGAGGCUACUGCAGUGGAUUUAACUGAUAUUUACUUGAAUUAUGAUGAAAAAACUCUAAUAAAUGAAUAUGCUGAGCAGGAAUCACAACAAAUCCACAAUAAAGAAUCUGUAGAUUGUGGGAUGAUGGUAGAAGAAACCGCAAAAAUAGAUUUUCUUGGUGAUAAUGGAAACUCAGCAAAAUAUCAUCACAGUGCUGCCAAUGCAGUGGAUGAUGAAAUCACACAUCUUGAAUGUUUGGCUGGUAAUACUCAACUACAGGGUCCAAAAGAUCUUAAUCAAGGAUUGUUACAGAGUCAAUGUAGAUUACUUUCCCAGGUAGAUCCUUCAAAUGUGGCUAGUGCUUCCAAUUCAGUCGAUGCAAGCGGAGUAUUUGUACGUUUGGUUGAUGAUACUCAACACCAGUGUCCGAAAGAUUUCAAACCAUAGAUGAUUUUGGUUUCCCUAGGAGAUCCUGUAGAUGAGUCGAGGGGUGGAUCGGAGGAAAUGAUACUAUGAUUUAAAAUAAUCAUGGAUAUCAAGGAGAAGAUUUUGAACAAAUUGCUACAGAUAGGGGGGUGGGUUUGUGAGGGUGCAAACCACUUCUGAAAAUUGAAAUACAACAAAAUAGAUACUUGGUUAUUUGGUUGCUGCUAACUUUACUAUAUUUUUAUCUCAUUAAGUUUGAGGUAUUUUAGUGUUGUUAGGUUGAUUAUAUAAAUUAAUAGUUACAUUAAUAAUUAAGGUUUAAAAUGACAUGAUAUAUGUUAGAUUUUGUGAAUUAAAAUUCUAGACUGAGACCAAAUCAUUUUUUUAACAUUGGAGAAAUGGUAAAACCUUAAAUGAUAUAUAUAUUAGAGUCUAAUUUAUAUGUCAUCUUGUAAAUUUGAAUUUAACAGUUAUGUUAAUUGUGUAAUGUUAAACUAGCCCUUUUAAUCUAUUUUGGAAUUUGUCUUUUUUUUUGUAUUACAGAUGAAAUCUUGCACCUUUCUGGAAGGGUAUAUUGAAAGUAAGCAUCCAAUACAAAUUUAACUUCUCAUAUAUUUAUGUUUCAAAAUUAUCACUUUGAAAUUUUGAAUGUUAUUAAUUAAUCUAGAGACACGUACAUCCGCACAAGGACGACAAGAGGUGCGUGCACUUAUUACAAUUUCAUGUUGGAAAAUAAAAAUUAUGAUCAUAAUUCGUAAGGAUUUGGUUAUAUGUUAAAAGAGGAGAAAGAAAAAGUAAUAAAAUGGAAGAACAGAAAUUGUUUGUACUAGAAAAUUUGAUAUUCUGACAACUAUUAAGCCAUGCCCUCAUUUGUCAUUUCCUCUCUAAUGAGUGAAAAAAGUUUCUUGGGAGGUUGAGAAUGUCUCACCAUCCUGGUUCUGCCAAUCAAAUUCUAGCUGUCCCGUAAGUGUUGCGAUCUAUUGUCGAAAUAAAACUUUCUAAACUCAAAUUUAGUUCAAGCUGGGUCGAUUAUCAAUCUCAAAAGGUAUAAAUUCAACUGUUUUGUUUAAAUAUAACAAAAUAAUGAUACUUUCCUUAAACUUGUUUGAACAAAGUUUAAUCUCUCACACAUAAAGAUUAAUUAACUUAACUAAUCACAAUAACUAUUAAGAUUUCUGAGAGUUUAAAAUCCGAGUUUGAGUAUAUACGUAUUUUCAUGAUUUUUAUGAAAACAAAUUCAAUCUCCAGAUGAAAGAGUAAUUUUUAAAAAAUGAGUCUUGUUAUUGGAAAUGCGAAAAUAAUAUGAUUGUACUAAGUAUGAAAACACAAAUGGAUUUAUCUAUAAUGAAAUAUAGAAGACCAACAUCCUGAGACAACAUAUCUAAUUACUGUAUAAUUAGACCACAUAACUAUUAGAAAAGAGAGUUAAUGAACUUCUUGCUUAUUUUUUUUGUUUUUAUUGUCUAUGUAACUUAGACAUUGCCCUUAUUUUUUUAAUAAAAUUUAAUUGCUUUAAAAACACACACAAAUAAAUUAAACUAAUUGAAUGUAAACUCUAAGAUUUAUUUAUUUAUUUCUUCUCUCUUUUUCAGAGAUUGUGUAUUGUAUGAAGUAUGAACACAGAUUGAAAAAAAAGGAAAAUCAUAUGAUUAACUGGAGAGCGCAAAGAUGAAUGAAAUGAAUUCCUUAGUUGAUUCACAAGCAUCAUUAAUUAUUCUUUGGAAUUGAAGAGAAGAAAAACAGCACAACAUCAUUCUUGUUGAAUGCAGAAGCAACCAACCCUAGCUCAUCAUCAAUCAAUAAAUCCAUGUAUCUCACUUUGCCUGAGAGUGAGAAGCAAUGAAAUCUACUGCAAGAUCAAUGGAGGUAAUCUUAUCAGCUUCAUUGUCUGGAAUUUCAAGCGCAAACUCUUCUUCAAGUGCCAUCACAAUCUCCACAGUAUCCAAGCUAUCAAGCCCAAGGUCUUUCUGAAAAUGGGCUUUUGAAGUAAUCUACGAAAUCAUUCAAAUUCUGGUUCAGACAUUUCAUCGAACAGUUCCCCCUCCCCCCUAUCGAAUUGGGAAUUGGGAUCUCCCGCUAAAAACAUCUCAUCAUUGAGAAACUAAAAAGAAAAACUUAUUAAAGGUAGUACCUUGGAAGGGUCGACCUUCCCGAAGUCCUUGAGGACGGAUACGAUACGGUCUGAUACCUCCGACUUGUCCAAAAACGCGCCUUUCACCUCAUCGGAGAAGAAUCGGUGGAAGAUGUUGGACAUGGAAGGACCUACAGAUCGAUAAGAAAUGGAAAAUGAUCCAGAACCGGCAGACUUCACCCUUAGGUGCUUCAGGAGUCCGGCUCUUGCCGCUGCCGCCAUCACUCUGUCUCGCUCUUCCUCUCUCUCUCUCUAUCGCCGGAGAAGAGAAGAAAGUAUUCGGAAACCUCAGGAUUGGUAUUUUGUUGGAUCGAUUUUACCCACCUCUUUGGAACUUAACGGACUGGGCUUGGGCCUUCCUUAAUAUUCAGACUGGGCCUUACUUAUUCCGAGUUUUCAAAUUUGAAAUAUAUAGUUAAAUGGGAAAUGUGAAAACGACAUUAUAAGAUUUUUUUUUUAAUAUGAUAUAAACAAGAUUUAUCUCCCAAUGUCGUGUCUUUGGGUGUGUCUUCGUCUUGUCUAGUUGAUCCCAGUUGGUUCCCAGACAUUUACAUUCACAGUAUCUUAGGAGCGACAAUAAUAGACAGAUUCGUAAAAAAAUACGACACAACACGUUUAUAAUAGUGUCGUUUUAGUUUCGAAAGUUUUACCACGAUUAAUAAUAGUAUUGGUUUAGUGUUUGUCUCUAAAAAUACGACACGACACGAAACGUAAACUAACAAGACACGAUUAUAUGACACGAUAACACGAAAAUAUAAUAUGAUAUUAUCAAUUAACUAUGUUUAUCUUUUAUGUAAUAAAGUUAAAAUAAUAUUUUUAGGUUAAACUUAUUAAGUUUUAUAUGAAACAUUGUAAACAUAAAAUAAUAAGGGUAAAAUAAUAAUUAUGGUGUAAAAUAAUAACUACAUAAUAUAGAUAAAAUAAUAAAUUAUACACAUAUAUAAUAAUAAUUAUUAAAACAAUAAUGUCGUGUCAACUCAUGUGAAGGUCGACUUUCUUAAAAGUCGAACUAAAAAAGUCGAAUUGGUCAAAGUUGAUCAUUAAGAAAGUCGAUCUCAAAAAGUCGAAUUGAAACAAGAUCUGGACAAUUAGACGGUUACAACCCAAAUGACCAAAUUACCCUCAUAAAAGUCUUAUAAAUAGAGGGGCACCCUCAUUCAUUCGGGCAGGUUGAUUUCAGCGAGAGAAGUCUCAGAGAAACAGAGUCAGAGCAACUAAAGAGUUCGGGUUGAUUUUCCCACGAAAUUCUCGGUUUACGUUUGUUCGAAACGUCGUUGAGCACUGAUCGGGUUCCACCUUCAUCACUUACAAUAAUGGAGGUCCAGGUGAAUUUAGGCAAGCAAUUGCGGGAACAAAUCUACAGGAAAUAAAGUAUACAAGCGGACCGUCUACCUGAACCAACAAAGGCAAAGGGGGAGAAUUGUUGCUUAAUUAAGUAAGAUAGCUUGAUAUUCAAGAUGGGAGGCAAUAUUAAAGGAUCACACCCCUUCAUAAUGUUCAACCUUUGACAGUGACAUCGAACUUUAGACUGAUGACAAAAUUGCGAGCAGUUAAAUCUGCAACCAAAGUAUGGACAAAAUCUUAACUUCCAAUUGAAGCCCAAAUUAGCAAACAAACAGAUCUUCUACAUCACAUGACUUCGGAGAACCCAAAUUUUCUAUACUUGUGGAAGGAAUUCAAGGGUGGUAGCAAGGAUCUCCGUCAAUGAGAUCCUCUAUCACCCAUACAUACUCUUUAACAUUGUCAUUGAAGUCUUAUCUCAAACCUUCCACUAUGCGGAAGGAAAGGGCGACUGGAGCAACUACAUCAUUGGCGACACCAAGUCUCCAUCUCACAUCUCAUCUUCGCAGAUGAUCGACCUCUUGUCUUGUGCUUUGCAUGGGCCAACUGGAAGUCGAUCAAUACAAUAAGGAGGAUUAUGGACACUUCAAUUCGCAGAUUUCUCAGGAUUAGUUUCAAAUCAGCAGAACGGCAACUUAUAUUGGUAGUAAUACGGCUUUACGAUAGCAGAAUUUCCCAUCAAGCAUCUAGGAGUGCCUCUGAACAAAAUGGGUGAUGGAUGGAAAAUAACUCUGUAGAUGAUUAUUGCAAUGGGUGAUGGAUGGAAAAUAACUCUGUAGAUGAUUAUUGCAAUGGGUUUCCAUCAAAUCUGUAGAUGAUUAUUGGAUAUUUCACUUCAAAUAUUUAAUAUUCCUUAAGUUUAAUUAAAAUUUGAUUUGAUGUUAUUUUGUAAAGUGAAGCUUCAUCCAACCAGAUCUAACAUAGAUUAGAGCUUAUAUUUGCUUGGCAUCUUAUCCAUUUAAUAAUCUUCCUCACUGUGAAGUUAGUGACUUUGUUGGUUGAGAAAUUCAUUUGAUCUUUUUCUUAGAACAAGCAUGGAUUAAUUGAGAGGAUUUUCUCCCUGCUACCAAAUAGAGAGAUUAGCCCAACCGAUCACAGUCACUAUUAAGGUUUUUAAAAAUUCAAAAUCGAGUGUAUUUUAAUUAAAAAUUUCACUACCAGGUGAUGAAUUAUGUGAUCUGACUGAUGUAGAAUAUGAGAAUAUGACAUUGCAAACAAAUGGAUGGAGUGAUGAACAUAUAAAACAAGGGAAAAGGGAUUGAACUAAUUGAAUGUUUCUUCAGCAAAGGGACUUGGUAAGCUACUAAGCUCUAAAGUUAUUUUCUUCUCUCCUUUUCUAUUUAAUCUUCUGGGAUUGGGUAUGAUUGUAUGAAGUAUGAACACAGAUUGAAAAAAAGGAAAAUCAUAUGAUUAAGUGGAGAGCACAAAGAUGAAUGAAAUGAAUUCCUUAGUUGAUUCACAAGCAUCAUUAAUUAUUCUUUGGAAUUGAAGAGAAGAAGAAGGAAAAAAAACAGCAUAACAACAUACUUGUUGAAUGCAGAAACAACCAACCCUAGCUCAUCAAUCAAUCAGUCCACAAUUCCACAUAUCACUUUGCCUGAGGAUGAGAAGCAAUGAAAUCUACUGCAAGUUCAAUGGAGGUGAUCUUAUCAGCUUCAUUGUCUGGAAUCUCAAACCCAAAUUCUUCUUCAAAUGCCAUCACAAUCUCCACAGAAUCCAAGCUAUCAAGCCCGAGGUCAUUCUGAAAAUGGGCUUUUGGAGUAACCUGCGCCAUUCAUUCAAGAACUGGUUCAGACAUUUCAUCGAACAGGUUUCUCCCAACAAAUUGGGAAUUAGAAAAGUAAAAAAAAAAGACAGUACCUUGGAAGGCUCGAUCUUCUCGAAAGCCUUGACGACGGAUAUGACUCGGUCAGACACCUCCGACUUGUCCAAAAACGUGCCUUUUAUCUCCUCAGAGAAAAAUCGGUGGAAGACGUUGGUCAUGGAAGGGACUACAGAUCGAUGAAGAAUGGUACGUAAUCCAGAAACGGCAGGCCUUACCCUUAGGUGCUUCAGGAGUCCGGCUCUUGCCGAUGCCGCCGCCAUCACUCUUUUUCUCGCUCUUCCUGUCGCCGGAGAAGAAAAAAAUAACUGAAAAGCUCAGGAUUUGUGUUUUGUUGGAUCGAUUUU